rnacentral:rRNA from 1 species
UACGGAGGGGGCUAGCGUUGUUCGGAAUUACUGGGCGUAAAGCGCACGUAGGCGGCUUUGUAAGUUAGAGGUGAAAGCCCGGGGCUCAACUCCGGAAUUGCCUUUAAGACUGCAUCGCUAGAAUUGUGGAGAGGUAAGUGGAAUUCCGAGUGUAGAGGUGAAAUUCGUAGAUAUUCGGAAGAACACCAGUGGCGAAGGCGACUUACUGGUCCAUGACUGACGCUGAGGCUCGAAAGCGUGGGGAGCAAACAGG